UCCACAGGAAAUGGUGGUCUGGAUGGAGCAAACAAUGAUCCUCCAAGAGAUGACGUCAGAGGAAGCCAUAUACAUGAAGAGGACAUGGCGCAGAUAGAAACUGAAUAUUCCAAUGAUUUUCCACAAGGUUAUGGUAAUCGAAAUGGUGGGAGGAGGGCACCAUAUAUUGAUUCUGGUCGCAGUAACCUACCUGAGGGAGAUGUGAUUUUGCCCUUCCAUCCCAAAGCACCAUCUGAAUAUCAUACUGGUUCUAGGGGGCAGCCUUUGUUGUCUUGUGGGGAUUCUGCCCCCCCUCAUGAGGAAAGGCGGGGACAGGGAAGAACAACUGACAUAUCUCCUCAUGUUACUCCAAGUGGUACAAAAGAUUCCUUGAUAAUGUUGAGGAAGAUUCAGUUGAAACCAUGGAUGGUAAACAUAGCCCG
rnacentral:misc_RNA from 1 species